CCCUCCCUAGCGGCUGUGACAACCAAAAACGUUUCCAAAUAUUGCCAGGUCUCUCCUGGGGAGGAGAAUAGUCCAGAGUAGACCCUGGUUGAGGUUGAGAGCAACUUAAUUCUAACAAUUAACAAUAGGGUUAAUCUAUGUAAUCCUCCAAAUACUGGUUUAUAUUGUGGGAUAUACACCUGCUGAGAGACGGUCGCUUCUCUGUCCUUCAUCUGGUGGGGACACAAUAGCUUGGAAAGAGGAACCACUUCGUGCUCUAAAACCAUCCCCUCCCUUCUCUGCCAUCCUAUCUCCUGCUUACAGAUUAAUUUCUCAUUCUAGGCUCGAGUAAUAAAGCAGAAGCCCGCCAGAGAGAAUUUCCACAGGCUUUACAUCUACCUUCCCACCCGCAUGUGUGUCCACGCACCCUGCCUUCCCCCUGGUAGUGUAACUCAGAAUCAAGUCUAAAGUUCUUAUUGUCUGGCUCUAUGUUUUAAAUUCUUUAUUGUCACCCGAAAGGACUUCCAGACGAGGGGGAUGCUUCCAAACAAGGACCUGAGGUGUUGCCCCUCCGCUGCUUAAGAUUCCAACGUGAACACGUUGCUGCACACGUACCGCUCCCUUCUCUAAGAGAUUCCUGCUCUAGAGGCCCCCCAGCUGUCAGGGACUCAGAUGCCCUGAAAUCCAGGCUGUCUAAGCUUAGAAUGGCGAGCUCUCUCCCUCUUGCCAUGGUGAAAUCCACCCUUCAACACAAUCCUGUAUUCCAGGUCUCACUCCCAUUCCAGGGCGUCUCCGGAAGCGGGCGGAAGUGGUUCUGAGCCGAGCUCGCAGGAGGAAGCGGGGGCACAUGGCAGCAGAUGCACGUGUCGGGGUUGACUUAAAGCGUGUGGAAGUUCUCUUUUGAUGGCUUCUACUUUCCUGCUUGACGCUGGACUGGGAAUUUUGUCUGUUACAAGGCAGUGCUCUCCUUGUUGUGGGCCCAGAAGCUGAGACCGAGAGAGAGAGGGACCAGUUAACUUACUCAGUGACACACGUCCAGCGAGAGGCAGGAAGAGGGAGGAGUGCUGAUUGCCUGAAACCCAAUCUUCUGACCCUCUGACCUCAGCAUUCUGCUUUCUUACCGUCUUCAAAUUACCAUGGUCAUUACAACCUAUCAAAAACCAACUCUUCAUUGCCAGGACUGAGCGCUGAGUAAUUAAAUGCAUUAAAAGUCUGCUCUGUACCUGGGGUUUUGAGCUUUUACACUGCCAUUUUUUCUUCUUCUUUCUUCUAAAUAGUACAGUAAGCGCUUUUACAUUGGCUGGUUUUCCUCUUGCGUCUCUAACUUUUUCACCUUUUCUCUCUGCGUCAACUGCCGUCGUGGCUCGCGUAUCCUCAGGUUUUAAGAGGAAGGAGAAACGAAGCCAGGGAGAUGGAUAACCAGCGAUGUGGCUGUUCAUCACCUGCUCGUUGGCUAAAGGCAGUAGUGGGCGUCGCUCAGUACAGAAGGAACUCUCCGUGUGGACCGUGUGUAUGUGCAGCAGGGCCUCUGCCGUCCUGGGACAGGGUGACACCCCGGCUGAUGUUGGAUUAGCUGCAUGCGCUGAGACAAGUUACUUACAACGAGUCUCAAUUUUCUCAUCUAAAAAAUUCAUAACCCGUGCCCCUCGGUGCUGCCGUGGAUAAAGCAAGUCCACUUAUUAAGGUGCCUGUUAAGUGGUCCUGGCACACCCUUUACACAUACAACUGGAGUCAGGAGCACUCUCCCCCGUGGGGCCCCUAAACUCCUCAUCCCCAGCCCAGUGGGAAGGAUUAAUGCAUUCUUUCUUGAAAGAACUUACGUGUACAUAUGGAAUUGGCAAAAGUCUGGCUCUUUGGCCUGAUUCCAAGCAAAACUAAUCAUCAGAAACUUCAUGCAGAUUUACGAUUACUUUUUCUAUAACAGGGUGAGGCCCAGGCUGCUGAGACAGAAUUAAAAAGGGGCUGGUACAAGCAGAGAAGGCUCAGGUCUUCACAAAGAAGGAUUUUCACGCAGGGCACCGCAUGUGCAACUGUGACUCAAGGUCGGCUGUAAAUUAGCAUCAAGUGUUAAAACAGCCCAGCGCCCCUUGCUUAAGAUUGUUGUGAUGAGGCCUCACAACUGGGCUAUGGGCUUUCAUUUAAGGCUAAUGAAGAGUCACAUUGGAUCUUCUCAAUAUAGUACGCAUGAUCCAACACAUAAUUUAAUGUUAUGAAGGCUGAUGGGCACACAGAGGUCUUUCUCACUGUGGAUGGGAUGGCCAUGGCUUUGAGCUAGAAGCCCGGGUUCCAGACCACAUCUUGCCACAUACUAACUGUGAGAUCUGUAACGAACCAUCGUCUUUCUCUGCCCCGAUCCCCAUUUAUAAAAUGGCAGAUUAAGGUCAGGAUGGAGGGCAUCAGCUGCAGGCAGACUGCAGAAACAGUUUGCUACACACUGGCUAUAUACACUUUGAGGAGACAUUAAAUUUAUUACCGGUACUAAAAAAUUGGCAGAGUUCACAUACAAAAAAAAUGUGCAUUUUUGGCCUCUUCGAGAAAGCUGGGGGAUUGGGCAACAAGCUUUGCAUUUCGUAAUGGCAGCAGGUGGAUGGUGCUGAUCCGUAGUUACUGCAUUUUGCUUGGUCACAGGCUGGUUUUUCAGCCUGCCACUGUCCCCACCAUCCCCUCUCAGUGCCACCUGGCCUCCGUUAUUCAUCUCUAUAUUUUCUCUUCCCUGCGUUAUAGUUUGAAAUCCCUGUAUUGUGAAAACUCUUGUAGUUUUCAAGCAAUUGAUUGAUUUAGGAUUUUGGGGAUGGUGUGAUGUGUGGACUUAUCUGAGUAUUGCCAGGGAAAUACUUUAGUGACACAAAAAUCUAGUACUCUUGUACUCUUGUACUAACACACCUAAGAUGCUUCUGGCUCAAUUUAUGCAAUAAGUUAAUUUUGAAACCCUACUACUAUGUGAAAAUGUUUGCUGGCAUAUACUGGAGAUACAAGGUUGAACAAAGGUUGGUGGGUAAGGAAGACAGAAAAUAAAUAAGCAAACGGCCAAACGAAUGUUAAUGAAAUGGACAUCUGAGAGAAUUCCACUAUCACAGAAGAACAGAUUUCAUGAAAAAGAACCAUUCCGGGGGAUGUCCCUUCAGGCUGGGGGGUUGCCAUUUAAGCAGAGAAUCGGGGAUGCCGAAGAAGGCGAAAAAGGUCAGUGUGGCUGAACUUUAGUGGGUCAGAAGACAGAGGAGGUAGAGAGGGAUCUGGGUAGUAGGCAGUGGCUAGAGCAACAGGGCUUUGGAGGACCUGACUGAGAGCCCAGCUUGAUUUUUCAAAGCUUAGGGAUGAAACAGAUGGGGCCAUUCAUGAACACCCACUCUGUCAUGGAUCAGGAAUCUUGCUCAGGGAACCCACUGAGUCAUUAAACAAAUAGGCCCUCCUCGCCCCUUCAUCCAACUUUCUGACCCUCCCUCUGUGCCCUUUCCCCAUAUUAUCAGUGGCCCACUGAGUUGAUGGCAUUAAGGAUAUCAUUUACAGAUAGAGGUUGCUUUUCUUGCACAGGUCAUGAUGGAGUCAUUUAAAGAAAGAAAACUAGCACUUCCUGAAAAUGCUCCACUUGCCAGAUCUAUUCCGUAUAAUUGAAAACAAAGAAACCCUUUGUACCAGAGUAUAAAUGUGUAUUGAAGUUCGCAGAUGCUAAGUGUACAGGUUGAUGGAUUUCAUGGUGAACAGCACCCAGAUCAGGAAAGAAGGCCGUCAGUUCUCGAGGAACAACCUUGUACCCCUUGAUCGCCCCCUACCCCUUCCAAGGGUGACCAGCGGCCCAGAUUCUAACCCCAGAGCCCAGCGUUUUGCCUGGUUUUGAACCUUAUGUAAGUACAACCGGGUGGGUGUUCAUGGGCUUGUUUUGCUCAGUGUUAUCCUUUGUGAGACCUGCUGUUGUGUUUCCAUUACCCCAGUAGUUCCAUAUGUGGAUAUAGGGCCGCCCUUCAGUUUUAUCGUAGACGGACAUUCAGGUGGUUUGAGACUUUUGCGACUGGCGCUGCCCUGGACAUCCGGGUACUUAUGUCCUCAUACGCAUGCGCAUGUAUUUCUGAGGGCCGAAUACCUACGCAUCGCGUUCUGCUUCAGUACUUCGUAUGAGACCGCUUUCUGUCCCUACAGCUUUUACCCGCAUUUAUGCUUUCGUUUUUGCAUCAACCUUUCGAUGUAGCCAUUUCAUCCCCAUUGGCAGGUGAGGAAACAAGGGCUCGGAAAGGCACCGUCAGUCCCUCGAGGUCACAGAGUCGGUUGAGCCGCAGGGAGAGCACACGAACUUGGAUUUGUGUGGCUCCAUCACACCACGAGCCCCCGAUGAUUCACUUGCUCUGUGGCCCCGCCCCAAUGGCACCCCUUCACCAACCCGUGCCCUGACCCAGCCUGGGGGAAUUAGUGGUGCUGCCGUCUGCUCCCCGGGCACCUGUGGGGCUCCCUGUGGCCGCCACGCGUGGUGAAGCGGCCGGCUCCGUGGUCAGACAGGCCGGGUCUGAGUGUCCGCGCCCCCGCUCGGUCACGGAGACUCGUGGCAAGUUGCGUUUAUUCCUUGGUGCGAUGAGGGUAAUGACGAUGGCGACCUCACACCUGUGGUGUGAAGGUUGAAGACGUGACGUCAGCAGGUGCUCAGGCAGGACCUGCACGUGGUAUCGGCAGUCAACAGGUGGAUGGACAGAGAGCGGCAUAGAUACUCCCGCAGACGAUUAGUCACAGCUACCACGGGGUCUGGCUCUCCUCCUCCGUCACUGAAGAGAUGUCAGCGGAUUCGGAUUAAACAAGCUUUUGUUGAUCAACUACUCUCUGCCAGAAGCCUCUAGAACCGUCUCACCCAUUAACUCCAUUAUUUUAAUUAAGUAGUUAACUGAAUUAAGUAAUUAAUCCAUGCCCAAUUUAAAGCUAGGGAAAGUAAGACUCAGAGAGGCAAAGCAACUUACCCCAAAUCGCCAGCUUCUGAGCAGCAGGGUCAAGUCAGUGUUGAGUCGCAUUCCCAGAGUGGCACGUUUCUCCUGUUU